CAGGGAGACAACAAAAUGUUUAAUAUUAUUUUGUCACCUUAGGUCGAUCGGUAUCUCACGUUUUUAAUUUAUUAAGAAUUUCAUUUCCUAAGUUUUUCUAGGUCACACCCAUUUUUUCCCUGGGCCAUUAGCUCAGGUGGUUAGAGCGCACCCCUGAUAAGGGUGAGGUCCCUGGUUCAAGUCCAGGAUGGCCCAUAUCUCUAUGUUGGGGGUAUAGCUCAGUUGGUAGAGCGCCUGCUUUGCAAGCAGGAUGUCAGCGGUUCGAGUCCGCUUACCUCCACUGAUUACCACCUCUUACAUAAUCUGUAGAAAGGGAAAUUUUUGAGUUGUGAUCAUAAAUCUGAACGAAUCUAGCUUCCUAAUGAAAUCAUUAAGAUGCUGGACUCAUUGAAUUAAUUUCAUUGUUUUCAGAGAACCUUGACAACUGCAUAGAUUAUUUUUAAAGACAAUAAGCAUCUUUAUGAUGCAGAUUUAUUAUUUGUGCGAAUGCAUUAAUAACAAUUCUAUUAAGCUGAUGCUUCAAUUUUGAAGUUAUU
rnacentral:tRNA from 1 species